CCUGGGCAACAAAGCGAGAUCCUGUCUCUACAAAUGUUUUUUUAAAAAUUAGCCAGGUGUGUGUCUCAUACCUGUAGCCCUAGCUACUCAGGAGGCUGGAGUGGGAGGAUCAACUUGAGCCCAGGAGGUCAAGGCUGCAGUGAGCUCUGAUUGCGCCACUGCACCCCAGCUUGGGAUAGAGAGCAAGAACUUGUCUCAAAAAGAAGAAAGAAAGAAAGAAAGAAAGAAAGAAAGAAAGAAAGAAAGAAAGAAAGAAAGAAAGAAAGAAAGAAAGAAAGAAAGAAAGAGGAAGAAAGAAAGAAAGAAAAAGGAAGAAAGAAAGGAAGGAAGAAAAGCAUAUUUGAAUGUCUCUAGAAAUAAGCGGAUAAAAAUCUAGGUGUAUCGAGAAGACUAAUAAACUAAAAACUUUCAAAAAGUAAAAAAAAGAAAGCCUGGCUGUCAUCCACAGUAUAUUUACAUUUUGUUCAAUCCUAGCAUACACAUAAAGUAAUUUCACAUUUGCAAACUCAUACCCUUGUGAAAACACAUUUGUAAACUAUAGUAAAGUAUUUGUGCAUAGUUCUUUUUGUCUUUAGACUUAAAGAUACAGUCAAAAACUCUUGCUUUUUUAAAAUUAAUUUGUUUAGCUCUUUCGUGCCCCAAUUCUGUGUGGUUCUAAUUAUAAUUUGUAAAAGAGUUGAGUUCAUUUGUUACUGUUUGUAUUCCAUUCCCCCACAUCUGGUAAAUUUAAAUUAUUUGUUUGUUUGAAAAAAAAAUAUCUAGGUGUAUUAACAUCAUCAAAUUAAUAAAACAAUGUUAUUUAAAAUAUAGAACAUAUCAUAAGCUUUCAAAUCAUAGUGGCCAAACAGCCACCAUCUUCAAGAAUCAAUAAUAAAAGAAGUGCUAGUAACUCUUACAGAUGGAUGAAUGACAACAUCAUAGAGUAUUACAGAGCCAUUCAAAAAAAAAUGAAUAGGACUUAUGCCAGUUGACUUGGAGAAUUUCUAGGAGGUGAUAGUGAGUACAAAAGAUAAGAUGCAGAGAUAAGUUCAUAGUAUGAUCCCAUCUUUGUAAUGUAACAAAAUACCCACUUAUAAAUGUGUUUACAUAUGUGUGAAUCUCAAUGUUUUUAUACAAGUAUAUGAUGUAUGCAAGUCUGUAUGCAUAGUCAUAUAUGGUCAUAAGGCAGAUGGUUAGAUAGAAAAAAAGUACUAAAGAGUACACCAGGUGGCUAAUACUUUUCCUGGGGAACUGGAGGGUGGGGACAAUACAGGACAAAGGCAAAGGAAAAAGGAGACUGAACCAAAAAAUAUGAUUGUACUUGUGUAAAAGUAUAUGUAUGCUUUUUAGAAAAAGAAAAGUCCAGAAACAUUGGCUCAUACCUGUAAUCCCAGCACUUUGGGAGGCCAAGACAGGCAGAUCACUUGAAGUCAGGAGCUCGAGACCAGCCUGGCCAACAUAGCAAAACCCCGUCUCUACUAAAAACACAAAAAUUAGCCGGGCAUAGUGGCACAUGCCUGUAACCCCAGCUACUCAAGAGGCUGAGAUAUGAGAAUUGCUUGAGCCCGGGAGGCGGAGGUUGCAGUGAGCUGAGAUUGCGCCACUGCACUCCAGCCUGAAUGACAGAGUUAGACUCUGUUUCCAAAAAAAUGAAAAUGAAAAAAGAGAGAUGUCUACAAACUUAUAGGGAUGGCUUUGGAAUAUUAAAAAGUUACAGAGUAAUGUGUCUAGUCUGAUUCUCUUUUUUUUUUAAGAUAGCUUUACUUUUUCUUUUUACAAAAUUAACACUUUGUCAUUACAAUAUAUAUCAGAAAAAUAGAAAAGCAGAAGGAAGAAAGUCAAGAUUAUCUAUAAUCCUAAGAACCACUGCAACCACCACCGAGUUCUCGAAGCCUGUCCUUCUGGGUUCUACUGUUGAGGAAAACGCGAUCACACAGGUUUGAUGAAGAAUUGGGUAGUCGUGGAG
rnacentral:lncRNA from 10 species